rnacentral:rRNA from 1 species
GACGAACGCUGGCGGCGUGCCUAAUACAUGCAAGUAGAACGCUGAAGGAGGAGCUUGCUUCUCUGGAUGAGUUGCGAACGGGUGAGUAACGCGUAGGUAACCUGCCUGGUAGCGGGGGAUAACUAUUGGAAACGAUAGCUAAUACCGCAUAAGAGUAGAUGUUGCAUGACAUUUGCUUAAAAGGUGCAAUUGCAUCACUACCAGAUGGACCUGCGUUGUAUUAGCUAGUUGGUGAGGUAACGGCUCACCAAGGCGACGAUACAUAGCCGACCGGAGAGGGUGAUCGGCCACACUGGGACUGAGACACGGCCCAGACGCCUACGGGAGGCAGCAGUAGGGAAUCUUCGGCAAUGGACGGAAGUCUGACCGAGCAACGCGGCGUGAGUGAAGAAGGUUGUCGGAUCGUAAAGCUCGGUUGUAAGAGAAGAACGAGUGUGAGAGUGGAAAGUUCACGCUGUGACGGUAUCUUACCAGAAAGGAACGGCUAACUACGUG